GAUGAACGCUGGCGGCGUGCCUAAUACAUGCAAGUCGAGCGAACAGAUAAGGAGCUUGCUCCUCUGACGUUAGCGGCGGACGGGUGAGUAACACGUGGAUAACCUACCUAUAAGACUGGGAUAACUUCGGGAAACCGGAGCUAAUACCGGAUAAUAUAUUGAACCGCAUGGUUCAAUAGUGAAAGACGGUUUUGCUGUCACUUAUAGAUGGAUCCGCGCCGCAUUAGCUAGUUGGUAAGGUAACGGCUUACCAAGGCAACGAUGCGUAGCCGACCUGAGAGGGUGAUCGGCCACACUGGAACUGAGACACGGUCCAGACUCCUACGGGAGGCAGCAGUAGGGAAUCUUCCGCAAUGGGCGAAAGCCUGACGGAGCAACGCCGCGUGAGUGAUGAAGGUCUUCGGAUCGUAAAACUCUGUUAUUAGGGAAGAACAAAUGUGUAAGUAACUAUGCACGUCCUGACGGUACCUAAUCAGAAAGCCACGGCUAACUACGUG
rnacentral:rRNA from 1 species